CCUUCUCUCCACAUGUACGUCUCGACCUCUAUUUCUGUCUCACUGCUGUCGCUGUACUCAGACUAUCAUACUCAGUGUCCAUAAUCUGUCUUGUUGUAGUUUUGGAGGGAUGUAGUGUUCUGGGCUGUCGCCAGGUGGCAGUCAAGGACUGAGAGGAGAGACCUGUGGUGUGUGUCGGGCUGGCGCAGUGAGGAACGAGGCCAAGGACAGUGAGGUUGUCUUACAUAGCUGUUGAAAUACACAGAAGUUCAUCCAGUAACAUCGUGGCUGAAGCUGAAUACGACGCUGCGGUUUUGGAUUCGGCCACUUCUUCGUAUUGAAUAUCAGCGACAUACCCAUUCUCAUCUGCCCUGUAAUUGACGACCUGGACACGACCAUCUGGGAGAGGGACACGAUAGUAACCGGGGGUCACCUUGCCGUGACGGCUUUCAGAUCGAGAGUUGCUGUUAUUGGAAGACCGGAAGCUGUAGACUGGUUUCUUGGCCUAAUUAAGAACGUUUGAAAUUAAUUAAUCAAAAUGAAAUCUUUUACUAGCUAAGAACCAGAUCGUUGGAUAAACAUGUAACUCACAUCUUCUCUAUUUUUGUAAACUGAAAUUUGAUCGGCACUUCCAGCUGACGUGGUGAUUAGCAAUAGGAAGCAAAUCCAACACUGCAAUUGUUUCUGCAAAAAUGAUGACAUUAAUUUGUGGACGAACAUCCAUCAUUAAAGCAUGAAUUGUGUCGGAAUUUUUUACCUUCAUAUCAAGAGUUUGUCACAGGUCUCUGAAAGUUAAAACACUGAUAUUAAUGAUUGUGUUCUUGGAGCUUUUAUAGACUGCCGAACUAUGAAAUCCGCAGCAUGCGGGCAAGCUCUCCUUGUUGGAGAAGUGAAGUGACACUGAUGGGGAACGUACGCGACUAAAGAAAAUCGGAAUGAUGGACUACAACUGAAAAAAGUGAAAGGCAAAUUCAUGCAGAUCAACGUGUAAACCUCGAAAAGGGACGCUUGAAAGUUUCUUCUGCUGAUAUUUGCACAGUAUUUGACUCCCUCAAAUGUUGGGUUUAAAAAAAGGGGGGAGGGGAUUGCCUCUGGCAAGGAAUACUUGCAUCCGACCAUGUACUGACGGUUACUUUCCAUUCACUAAGACAAUAUAUAUGACAUUGAAAAUGCAA
rnacentral:lncRNA from 1 species